GCUCACUUAUGUUGGUGUGUGCACAAGAAUGCCCGGGUGGAGCUGACUUCUCUCCUUCCUUCUGUCCUCCUUAUCUGUCCUCAGCUCAGAGCUGCUGGGCUUGGCCUGCUGAGGGUCCUUGCCCAAUGUGUGCCGUGUUUAGGAAGGUGAGGAGUGAGCACUCCCACCCAGCUACAGCAUGUGUCCAUUACAGAACGUGCUGCGAUGGCUGGAAGUGCUGUUUGCUGUUUGAGCCUCUGCUCAGACACAGAACUUCCCCAUAGAAUCCCCGUGGUGCCACAUUUUGGGGCCGGAGGGAUGAAGAGCUGUCCCGCUUUGCUCCUAGCUGGGCCAGUGGUGCAGCUCCAAAGAGAUGCUUCGUGGUGGUCUGAGCUCAGCUGGGGAGCAAACAGGCACUGCUGGUGUCCUUUGACUGGGCAGGGGAUGCAGAGUGAGAACAGCAUACAGAGAGAUCGGGGACGGCGGCCUCUUGCCAGGAAAUGUCUACGUGAAGGUCCCACAGUAACAGGGGCUGAAUGGCCCCACAGUAGCAUUGCUCACUUCUCCGUGGCCGUGCCUGGCAUCUGAAGGGCUCACGGGUGCAACGUUUGUCCCCAUCCCCACUGAGAUGAUUCUUUCCUCCUCGUGUUCUCAAUGCCACAUCCAAGCCACGCGCCUUGCAGUUCUGUUCUGUUGGCUCUCGGGUUCCUCCCACGCUCUCUC
rnacentral:lncRNA from 1 species